rnacentral:tRNA from 1 species
GCGCGGGUACCAAAGCGGCUAAAUGGGCCAGGUUCAGGGCCUGGUGGCUUAGUGCCUUCGACGGUUCGAAUCCGUCCCCGCGCA